CCUACGUGUGGCAGCAGUCGAGAAUCAUUCACAAUGGGGGAAACCCUGAUGGUGCGACGCCGCGUGGGGGAAUGAAGGUCUUCGGAUUGUAAACCCCUGUCAUGUGGGAGCAAAUUAAAAAGAUAGUAUCACAAUAGGAAGAGACGGCUAACUCUGUGCCAGCAGCCGCGGUACUACAGAGGUCGCAAGCGUUGUUCGGAAUCACUGGGCUUAAAGCGUGCGUAGGCUGUUUCGUAAGUCGUGUGUGAAAGGCGCGGGCUCAACCCGCGGACGGCACAUGAUACUGCGAGACUAGAGUAAUGGAGGGGGAAGCGGAAUUCUCGGUGUAGCAGUGAAAUGCGUAGAUAUCGAGAGGAACACUAGUGGCGAAGGCGGGUUCCUGGACAUUAACUGACGCUGAGGCACGAAGGCCAGGGGAGCGAAAGGGAUUAGAUACCCUUGUAGUC
rnacentral:rRNA from 1 species